rnacentral:misc_RNA from 1 species
GAGUUUCAGUACUUCUUAGAACGUGUACCAGUACCUGUACCUUUACACCAAUAUACCUAUUCUGUACAUUGUUAGAACCAGUACAUUAUGUACAAUGUGAUGUAUGAAGUGUAGAGCAAGUGAAAGAACAAUGUCUGGAAUUCGGUAUAAAAAAAUUCUGAAAGAGGAGAAUGGAAACUACGUCGAGGAAUGUCGUCUUCAGAACAGUUCCCCAAUCCAGAGUCCUGAAAGACGACAUGUUUUCUUUCCACCAAAUAAUGCUGGUUCCCCUCACACACCUUUACUUAUGAGCACCGACAGUGAGGAUGAAAGUGAAAGUAAAACUGAAGAAGUUUGCACUGUUAAUAUUGAAAAUGCUCCAACAGAAAAUGAAGUUUUAGUUUUUCCAGAUGAAUGGCAUAAAACACUGAUGACUAUGCUUUUUAUGGGUCUAGGGUUCAUCAUAACCACCUUCAGUCUAAUUUUGACCCAUGAGCGAAUGCCUGAGGGGGAUCCGUUGCCGGAUAUAUUCCUGGAUAAUGUGAGUUAUAUAUCCUGGGGUUUAAAGCUGAGUGAAGUUUUGAUGAUAACCUCAAUAUUUGCUGCAAACUUCGUAGUACUGGCUCAUACACACAGGUCCAUUAUAUAUCGGCGAAUAUUCUUUCUUCUUGGGAUUCUAUAUUUCUACCGAGCAGCUACUUUCUACGUCACUGCUCUCCCUAAAUCAGACAAACUUUACCACUGUGAUAAAAAAAAUAAUGGAUCUCUACCCUUCUCAGAAUUAGUAUCGCGUGUUGUAAAGAUAUCAACGGGAGGAGGACUGUCUAUUAAUGAUAACCAGGUUUACUGUGGGGAUUUUAUAUUCUCUGGACACACUGUAAUGCUCGUCACAUCCUACUUGGCAAUAACAGAAUACGGACCAGCACGCUGCUUCCUGAUCCAGUGGAUAUCCUUCUUUACCUCACUGUUUGGUGUUCUCUUCCUUCUCCUUGCUAGAGGACAUUACACAGUGGAUGUUCUAAUAGCUUAUAUAUUAACUACUAGGAUAUGGUGGGGAUACCACACAAUAGUAAACAGCGAAACUUUAAAGAAAAUAACUAAAGAAAACAGUCUCUCAAAACUCUGGUGGUUCAGAUUACUGAGAUAUCUAGAAGCGAAUGUCCCUGGUCCUAUUCCCUCCAGAUACAGUUUUCCCCUUCCACAGGCCUGGAAGUCAUGCAUAACUUCAAAAUUUCAUAAGAAAGUCAAGGUGGAUUCUGAACCAGAAACUUCCUAAUUCUAUAUAUCAGCUUCCUAAUCCAGUUUAUCUGUAUGGAUCACAGUCCUAAUCUAGUCUCCUAUGGGAUCCACUUCUUCCUAAUUAAAUCUGCCCUAUUUGUUCCCAAUUAAGUCCAACUUGAGUUUGCGCUUUCCAAAUUCGCUUUAAGUGGAGAAAACUGACUUGGACAGGGCGUUAAGCGCUUAUGUCCGCACUUAGUCUGGACAUACAACUGUCGUCUGUAGAGUUGAUCAUAAUAGAGCAAAGACGGAAUUGCUGUGGAGUUCAGCCCUCUUUAAAGAUCAUGCAGCUACUGCUCAAUAUACAGUAUUAGAUGAACAAGCAUGAACUCAGCAGCUCACAAAUGUCGUCUUUGUUCUGCCAACUGUUAAAUUAACAAUCCUUCUGCUUUAGAAUUAAAUAUUAUUAUUUUUAACCUAAUUCUGUCUUAUAAUAUGCACUCCGAAUACUCAAAUUGUUUCUUCCCUUUAAUAACCCAGUAUCUGUACAAAUGUAUUAUUCUCCGAAUUAUAUGAUUUUAAUUGAUCCAUGGUUUAAAAAAUAGUAUAGAUUGUUGUGCAUUAUAUUCAAGAAAAGUCGAAAAUAAAUUAAACAGACCAA